CACACUGCCACUCCUACACCCCCUGCUGCCUCUUCCCAGAAAGCGGGGGGGCUGCCUGCCCCAGAAGCCUGGAUGACUGAUUAGAAAUCUGGGAAUGAUUGUUCUGGAUAACUCCCUCCCUCUGGAUGAGACCACAUCAAUCAGUGCCUUGGCUGCAGUGCAUCCCCUCUGUUAACAGUCUUGGCCUUGCAUAGGCUUCCCUUCUGCCAGGCCUAACUAAACCUCUGUCCAGUGGCCUCCGCCCCUGCCUGCAUUCUGUCUGCAACUGGGGAGGGUUCAGGGAGACUGGGAGGAUCACUGGAGCACAGUGGUCCUCAAUGGGGGGGUGUUUUGCACCCCAGGAGACAUCUGAAAAUUCUGAAGAUUUUGUGUGUGUGUGUGUGUGUGUAUGUGUGUGCUUUGAUGGGGAGAAUAUGCUACUGGCAUCUAGUUGGUUGAGAGCAGGGAUACUGCUCAACACAGGAGUGUCCACCACAAAGAAGUCUCUUGGUCAGGGAGCCACUAGUGCGGGUUAAGGAGUCCUGCUGCUUGGUUGGUUGCCUGGCUCUCAGGAGUGUGUGGUGUGAGGAUGAAAGAUGGGACAUGAAAAAUAAGACUUCAGAGAGACUCUUAUGCCUGAGGCUCCGAAGUCCCAGGUUCAAUCCCCUGCACUACCAUAAGUCAUAAGCAGAGCUGGUGUUAAAAAUAAAAAAAAAAAAAAAAGACUUCUCACUAAUCAUAAGGGCCUAGGCCCAGAAGGAAUCCUAGCUCUCAACUUGCCCAGUGGUUUUCAGCUGGGCACUUGGAGAAUCCAGGACAAGUUUCUUAACCAGAUGCCUAUCUAUACCACCUAGGUAACUUUAUUUAUAGCUUUUUUAAAAAAAUUAUCUUUAUUGUGGUCUGGGAGGUGGCACAAUGGUAAAGCUUUGGACUCUCAAGCAUGAGGUCCUGAGUUCGAUCCCCGGCAGCACAUGUGCCAGAGUGAUGUCUGGUUCUCUCUCUUUCCUCCUUUCUCAUAAAUAAAUAAAAUCUUUAAAAAAGUAUCUUUAUUUACUGGAUAGAGACAGCCAGAAAUUGAAAGGGAAGAGGGAGAUACACCUGCAGAGAGACACCUGCAGCCCUGCUUUACCACUCGCAAAGCUUUCCUCCUGCAGGUGGGGACCAAGGACUUGAACCUAGGUCCUUGUGCAUUAUAGCAUUCAUGACCAAGUAGGUGCUCCACCACCUGGCUCCAUGACUUUAUUUAUUUAAGAUUUAUGUAAGAGAGAGAGAGAAGGAGAGAGAGAACCACAGCAUCAUUCUAGUAUUCCAUCCAGGAAUCUAAUUCUAUACUUUAUGCUUAACAGUACUUAUGUGUUACCUCCUGGGCUGCACCUGGGUGAUUUUAAAAACAGGUGAGAGGCCAGGCAAUGGCACACGUCACCAUGUGCAAGGAACUGGGCUCAAGUUCUCGAUCCCCAUCUGCAGGGUGGAAGUUUCAGGAGUGGUGGUGAAGCAUGUCUGCAGUUCUCUCUCUCUCUCUCUCUCUCUCACUCUCCCUCUCUGUCUCCCCCCUUCCCUCUCAAUCACUCUUCUACCUAAAAAUAAAAUUAGAAAACUACUGUGGUGGGUCAGCGAAAUAACUCAUUAGGCCAGCGAAGUAGCAUACUUUUGGACAGUGCAUUGCUUCCCAUGUGCAAGACCCAGUUUCAAACCUGGCCCCUACCACAUUGAAGGAAGCUGCAGUGCUAUGAUUAUUCUCUGACUUUUCUGUUUCUAUUUAAAAAACAUGAUUAAACAACAACAAAAAAAAACUAUCAAACACACACACACACAUACACACAAUCAAGGCAGUGACCCAGAAGGUGGCACAGUGGGUAAAGCUUUGGAAUCUCAAGCAUGAGGUCCUGAGUUCAGUUUCUGGAAUUGCAUAUAUCAGAGUGAUGUUCUCAUCUGUCUGUCUCAUUUAUAAAUAAAUCUGUGGUCUGGGAGGUGGCACAGUGGAUAAAGCCCUGAGUUCUCAAGCAUGAGGUCCCUAGUUCAAUCCCCAGCAGCACAUGUGCCAGAGUGAUGUCUGGUUCUUUCUCUCUCUUCUCCUAUCUUUCUCAUAAAUAAAUAAAUAAAAUCUUUUU